rnacentral:tRNA from 1 species
GGCGAACGGACAGGAGCUCCCUUACAAGGAGGGGUCGCUGGUUCGAAUCCAGCAUCGCCC